rnacentral:tRNA from 1 species
GGUACAGAGCUCAGUGGUACAGUGUUUGCCUACCAUGUAUAAGAUCCAGGGUUCCAUCCCUGGCACUA